GGGCAGUGGACAGGCAAGCCAGACAGACCUGGGUCCCACACCCUGCUCAGGCCUGCCUUCCUCCACUAGAAAAGAGAAGAUGAGGCGAUAAGAAGCUUCCUACCAUUGUGGGACAGCUUGUGAAGUGGCUGGUGUUUAGUAAGUUUUCAAUAAAUAGUCCGUUUCAGAUGUAUCCUGAGUACUAAGUAGGCUUUUGAAGUAGCAGUUUUAAUCCUUUUAUUAGAUAGAAAAGUAGACUGUGUCCCCCAGCAACUGACUUUAAAACCUGCCUUGAGUUGGUUGACAUUUGUUAGGUGGUCUAUGUUCUCUUUUUGCAAAAAAAAAAAAAGAGCUUUCUUGGAGUUAAAAUGAGCUUCCCUCUGGUGUGUGUGUGGUUUUUUAAAAAACGAGUAAUAAAAAAAUUGAUUACCUGUGUAAGUUCAGAAGUCUUUUGCUCUUAAAUAAGUGAUUUGGGGAUUAUUUGAUAUAGGCUGUUUUACCAAAAAAAAAAAAAAAAAAAGUGUUACUCCUUUGAAUGUUCCGUAAUUAGAUUUCUAAAGGUGCUGGCUUAUGAAACAGGACCAUAUGAAGGAAGUGGCUGCCACUGGACGUUUGAAGAUCUAUAUGAAGAUUGUGACUUGCUUUUGUUGAUUAUCAACCAGGCCCCUCUCAAACAGGAGGAAUCAAGCCAUAAAUUUGUAUUUGUUGGACAUUAUAUGCCAUGUCAUUGCUAUGACUACAGACUUCAAAGACCAUGUUUUAUUCACAGUUUUACUGUAACACUGACCAAUAAAUGUGAGGAAUUUGUUGCUGACGGUUAGAUAAAAGAGCAGUGCUUAUUGCAGUUUUUAAAUCUAGCCAAAUACUGGAGUAAUGAAGUUGUAAGCUCCAUGAGAACAGGGACCAUCUUUUUCAUUCUCACAUACAGAUACUCAAUAAAUAUUUGUGGACACGGAUAUUUGUGAUAUUGGUAUAUUUAUUCCUACCGACUGAGACCUGGUUUUUAUUAUUUAUUUGUUUUUGUCUUUUUGCCUUUUCUCGGGCCGCUCCCACAGCAUAUGGAGAUUCCCAGGCUAGGGGUCUAAUCGGAGCUGUAGGCACCAACCAGCCUACGCAGGAGCCACAACGAGGGAUCCGAGCUGUGUCUGCGACCUACACCACAGCUCAAGGCAACGCUGGAUCCUCAACCCACUGAGGGAGGCUGGGGAUCGAACCCGCAACCCCAUGGUUCCUAGUUGGAUUCUUUAACCACUGAGCGACAACGGGAACUCCCGAGAUCUGGUUUUUAAUGGUGUUAAGUCCUUAAAGUACUUAAGUAACUGGUCGGGUAUGAUCAUUGCAGGGUUACAGUGGCAGUCAUCCAGGUGCUUGGUUCUGACUGGCCUUAUAGGUAGAGUCUCACUCUGGAGAUCUGUGUACUCAGAAUACCUUUAAUGGGUCUUUGGGAACCUCUUAGUGGAGGGAAGGAGUUGACGGUUUCGUAUUUGUGGGAACCCUUUGUCUCGGUAUGAACAUCACAAGACCGUGUUUUGAGGUGAGCUGUGUUAUGAUGGCUUUCUUGGCCCAUUCAGUCUCCAAGGAGAUGGGACAACCUUUGGUCAGUUGUUCUCUCUCCCAGUAUCUGAACUGUCUUGGAUUGCUUUAACUUUAGCUUGCACUUACCCUUCCAGGGAAAAGCACUCCUGGCUCCUCAACCUUGUAAGGUGAUACUUGGCAAUAGGUAAACUACCACUAGGUUUUAGGUGUGCCCUGGUUAAUUCCAUUACUUCAGAUCUUGGCAGACAAAGCCAUCCUUGCUCACUCUAAACAGACACUCUAUGCUCUCUUUUAAAUUUCACUCAGUACCCUCCUGGUCUUUUUAUUUUCCAACUGGAGAGUCCAAUCGGGAGGGAACAUCAACAUGAAGCAUUUUCUGAUCCUCUGCCAGUUCCUUCUUGAGGUCGAGAACUAGAACUUACCCUCUGGCUACUAUUACUCCCACUGUUUCCCACUACUUUCGAUGACCAAAGAGCUUUUCAGUUUUUGGCCCAGACCAUAUUUGGUGUCUUGAAGAGAGAACUAUUUCUGCAAAUCUGGUCGGUAAUGAAUAUAAGUACCAGGCAUCAAGGUUUGGACUUCGAUUGACUUGUUUGUCCACACAUUCCAAAUGCCUUCCUAAGGUUUCCAGCAUUCGUUCCCCUUAAUUUGUCAUUUUAC
rnacentral:lncRNA from 1 species